GAUGAACGCUGGCGGCGUGCCUAAUACAUGCAAGUCGAGCGAACAGACGAGGAGCUUGCUCCUUUGACGUUAGCGGCGGACGGGUGAGUGACACGUGGAUAACCUACCUAUAAGACUGGGAUAACUUCGGGAAACCGGAGCUAAUACCGGAUAAUAUGUUGAACCGCAUGGUUCAACAGUGAAAGACGGUCUUGCUGUCACUUAUAGAUGGAUCCGCGCCGCAUUAGCUAGUUGGUAAGGUAACGGCUUACCAAGGCAACGAUGCGUAGCCGACCUGAGAGGGUGAUCGGCCACACUGGAACUGAGACACGGUCCAGACUCCUACGGGAGGCAGCAGUAGGGAAUCUUCCGCAAUGGGCGAAAGCCUGACGGAGCAACGCCGCGUGAGUGAAGAAGGUCUUCGGAUCGUAAAACUCUGUUAUUAGGGAAGAACAAAUGUGUAAGUAACUGUGCACAUCUUGACGGUACCUAAUCAGAAAGCCACGGCUAACUACGUG
rnacentral:rRNA from 1 species